UACGUAGGUGGCGAGCGUUGUCCGGAUUUACUGGGCGUAAAGAGCCCGCAGGCGGCCUGUUAAGUUCAAGGUGAAAUCUCCCGGCUCAACUGGGAGGGUGCCUCGAAAACUGGCAGGCUUGAGUCAUGGAGAGGGAUGCAGAAUUCCUGGUGUAGCGGUGAAAUGCGUAGAUAUCAGGAGGAAUACCAGUGGCGAAGGCGGCAUCCUGGCCAUGUACUGACGCUCAGGGGCGAAAGCGUGGGGAGCAAACCGG
rnacentral:rRNA from 1 species